rnacentral:rRNA from 1 species
AUUGAACGCUGGCGUCAGGCCUAACACAUGCAAUUCGAACGAGUUGCGUACGGGUGAGUAAUUUCUGGGAAACUUCCUGAUGGCGGGGGAUCACUACUGGAAACGGUAGCUAAUACCGCAUACCAUCAGAUGUGCCCAGAUGGGAUUAGCUAGUAGGUUAGGUAACGGCUCACCUAGGCGACGAUCCCUAGCUGGUCUGAGAGGAUGACCAGCCAAACGGGAACUGAGACACGGUCCAGACUCCUACGGGAGGCAGCAGUGGGGAAUAUUGCACAAUGGGCGCAAGCCUGAUGCAGCCAUGCCGCGUGUAUGAAGAAGGCCUGCGGGUUGUAAAGUACUUUCAGCGGGGAGGCGUUACCCGCAGAAGAAGCACCGGCUAACUCCGUGCCAGCAGCCGCGGUAAUAC